rnacentral:lncRNA from 1 species
AAUGUUAGAGGAGAGAAAAUGGAAGCUCCUUUUUCCCCCUGAACAAACGAUAAGUUUGAGUCAAAAUACUGAAGCUACCCCUUACCUUAACCUUCAGUUACAAAGAGUUGAACAAAAUCAAGUUACUCUUAAGGAAUUAAAUUCCGUCAUCAGGUCUCAGAAUUAUACCAAUGCUUAUCUUGUUUGCUUAGGAGAACAAUUUAUCUCUAUGGAAAAAGAUC